UAGCUCAGUUGGUAGAGCAGUUGACUUUUAAUCAAUUGGUCGCAGGUUCGAAUCCUGCACGACCCACCAAUCGUUCUGGUGGAACGCGAUAGUAAAACGUGAAGGAUAACGUUGCGACAGCAACGGCCCAUAGGGCGAGGCAAAGCCGAGCCAUCCUGCACGACCCACCA
rnacentral:sRNA from 1 species